CCGCGCGCCGCCCCCGCCCUUUCGCUCCGCGCCGCCCCUGCCCGCCGCCGCGCCCACCCUUCCCCGAUGUGCCCCAAGCCCCUGCGGCUUUCCACCGCCAGCGUUGCACCUUCCCUAACUCCUCUCUCUCCUUCUCCUCUGCCGCCGCCGCUCCUCUCCAUCGGCCGACCAACUCCCACGAGUCAUCGCCUCUCGAUCCUCCUCCUCUGUGUGUGUGUGCUCGAUCCGGAUCCACCCUGGCCGUAUGCAUCGCUCUGAUGUAGAGGCCGGGGAAACCUCCCUUUUCGAAAAAAAGGAAAAAAAGAAAAAAAAUCCCUUUCCUGGGUGCAGCUUAGAUGAGAGCUCCACUUUCCUGGGUGCAGCAUAGAGGAGAGGAUGGGCACGGCAAACAGAACUUGAACGCCGGAUGGAUGGAUACUGGCGCUGCCGGGCGCAGACAUCGUUCUCCUCCUGGCCGAGCUCCUCCACAACACCCCGUCUGCAACCCAUGUUUGAUGUGCCGCAGGCUGGAUGGGGACGCGUGGACCUCCUGCUCCUCCCGACCAAGCUUGAUUGUGUGUGCGACCUGCUGACGGCGCUCGGGGUGUUUGAGCUUUGAGGUAGGAUAGCAGGAGCGGUGACUAGCAUCAAGGAGGAGCAGCAAGAAGCAGCGACAACUAGCUAGCUGCUAGCAUGCGCCCCUCUCUCUCAUGUACAUGGAUUUGUAAUGGGAAAGUACUUUCUCGGUUCUUUCUUUAGUGUGAACCAUCUUUUGCUAUUCAUGAGCAUCCACCCACAACCUGUUUGAUGUUAUGCGUACAACAGACUGAGACACAUUUUAAUUUUCUGGUCAAACUCUUACCUCUAUUUAGAAAAUGAAAAUGAAGAAGCAUGUGUAUCUGA